rnacentral:lncRNA from 1 species
GUUUGCCUUCUUCAUCUCUGUAUCCCUGGGAUCUGGGCCGUCUUGGUAGUUGAUAGUCAGGAGGUACCCGUUAGUGUUGAACGAAUGAGUGCCGUCGAAGAGGGUUAUCGUGGGUCCUGUGGACCCCAGGUGUUUCCAUAAUAUGCAGAGGGAAAUCUGAAUGCUUUCAGAAGAUUGAUGAUGAAAGUAGUGGGGGAAGAGGCAGGGCCUGGCACGCAGGAAGAGCUCAGAUUCUUACCGUUUCUUUGUCAGCUCCAUCUAUCCAUUAUUGAGAGAGAAGGGUUAGAAUCUCCCCCUUUGGUGGUGCAUUUAUCAAGUUCUCCUUGCAGCUGUGUGAAUUUUUGCUUUAUAUGUUAAGUGCAUACCAAGUUAGACUCAUCUCUUUCUGAUGGACUAGCCCUCAGCUGACAUCCGUGCUAGUCUUCCUCUAUUUUUCAACGUGUGGGUCGCCAGCACAGCAUGGCUGCUAACAGAGUGGAGUAGAUCCACACUCAGAACUGAAGCUGGGCCGCUGAAGUGGAGGGCACUGAACUUAACCACUAGGCCACUGGGGUUGGCCUUGUCUGUCUCUUUUGAGGGAGAUGACUUCUUUUUAAAAUAGCAGCAUACAUUUUGUGUGGCCAAACAGCCUGCAGGGGUAGCCCCUCCCUAGACAACUUUAUCCCCUCCCUAGUUACCAGCCGUGCUCUCUGCCUGCACCUUGACGUCCCGUC